AACAACGCCCUGAGAGAAACAAAUUAUGAAUCUUAGAACAGCUGCAAGAGGCUUUGUAGCUUUCCUUCUGUCAUUACCAGCAUUACAGGGUAAUGAUGACUGGGCAUUUACUUACUCAUCUAGUAAUAUCUGCGCUUUGAGAGGAUCAACAUUUGAAAUCCGCUGCAAUUAUAAAUACCCUUACAGAACUACAGUGGAGAAAAAACUCUGGUUUACUACUAAACACAAUGAGCCAGUUGAUCUGAGAGAUGAUACAGACUACACAGGUCGUGUUGAAUACAGCUGUUUUAGGCACAGCUGUACCUGGAGCAGCUGUACUGGAACGUGUAAACUGAUAAUCAAAGACCUGAGACAGAGUGACUCUGCUGAAUACAAGUUUAGGAUUACAACAAACAAUGGAGGGGCAUUAAGUGAUCUCCCUGGAGUGAAGUUAUCUGUGACAGAUCACUGGACGGAAGUGAUCAUUCUUCCUAGGCCUACCAGUCAGAACUGGUUAGAGCUGGAAUGCCACAGAAUGUGUCAUUUAACUGGGUAUCGUACGUACAGUAUGUACAGUAACUGGUACAGGAAUGAAAUUCAACAAUGACGUCAACGAUUGUCCUACCGGUUCUACAUUAACUCUGAAUACAGGGUUUCAUGUGCUGCUACAGGUUUCAAACAUCUCCCCUCUCCAUCAGUGUACGCUCCAGAGGCCCCCUUAGUGGGAGUGACUCCCCCUGGUGUAAUAAAGGAGGGCAGUUCAGUGAAUCUGACCUGCACCAGCGAGGCCAACCCAGUAGCAAAGUACACCUGGUCCAAGGUUACUACAGG